rnacentral:lncRNA from 1 species
UGACAAUCAACGUACCGACCGUUCCUAGCGCAAGUGGCAAAAAAUUUGGUGGUUGAUACGCGAGAUCCCAAAUUUAAAACUUAGCUGCUUCACAUUUUCAGCUAAAUUUAUUUCUAAAAAAAAUAAACGAAUCGGGUAGCAUUCUACCAAAUUAAAGUAGAAUGAAAACUAGGGAUACUGUAGCGGCAAUAAGAAAGCUCCAAAUCUAAUGCAGAUAUGGUGCAUGUUAUAAGAUGCAGAGUCGCAGAUCCAUUUAAAAGUUUAAAUUGAUAGUCGAAUAGAAAUCUUUUGUAGUAUUGAAUAUGAGACUAAAAUUUGCAAAUCUAAUACAGAUAU